rnacentral:sRNA from 1 species
UCACGGAUACGACCCCGGUCCCGACCCCC